rnacentral:misc_RNA from 1 species
GGAAGUAAAAGCGUAACAAGGUUUCCGUAGGUGAACCUGCGGAAGGAUCAUUACAGAGUUCAUGCCCUCACGGGUAGAUCUCCCACCCUUGAAUAUUUAUACCUUAGUUGCUUUGGCAGGCCGUGGAAACACCAUGGGCUCCGGCUUAUGCGUGCCUGCCAGAGGAAACAAACUCUGUUUUUAGUGAUGUCUGAGUACUAUAUAAUAGUUAAAACUUUCAACAACGGAUCUCUUGGUUCUG